GUUUUAGCCCUCCCAUUGGCUCUUAUGGUCAGGUGCCCACUCCCAUCCUUUUACCCAUGUGCUUUUUUUUAACCCUUUACAGGUAAAGCAAGUAGAGAACAGCUACUAACAGGGAUUUUGUAUCUAGCUGGCUGUCUGGCUGUCCAUAAAAGGGGGCUCCCCCCACUUCAUUUAUCACAGGCCUCCAAGUGAUUGGAUUUUUUUUUUUUUAACACAAGAAAUCUGGCACUUGGUAUGUCAAAGGCCUGCAGAAGAUGGAAGAAGCAAGAUUAAGGAUCAUUUAGGAACCUAAUUCUACAAGGUGCUGAUAAUUGGAUAUGAGGGGUACUCAUUACUCCACAGGAUCAUGUGCUAGAGUAGUUCCUGGUGAUGUCGGGUGUUUUUUUUUUUAAAUUUUGCAUCCUUUUCUCUUGGCCAUGUGUCACACAUAGGAGAGCCUGUUCCUGCAGUAAGGCCUGUUAAGGUGAACCUCUGCUCCCAUUCAGAAUCCCCUUGACUUCAGUUGGAUUCUGUGACCGCUAGCGUCCAUGGUAAUGGACCCUGAUGCAGGAUUUGGGGCAUGUGGGGUGAAGGGAAUUACUUUUAAUUUCAAAUCAUCACAGUUCAAGGGAAAAACAGGAACAAGGAAGGAAGCAUCAGUCCGCAAUUUCACCACCAUUUGGCAAAGCUGAGAGCUUUCUGGGGGACUGCCAUGUUGCUUCAUGAUCCCUGUUGGUACAGAGACCUCCAAUGAAACGAACACCUCUGAUGACAAUAGAAAGCAACCAUGAAUAAAAAGAAAUUAAUGAGGGAAGCAUUUUCCUGCUGUGCCCCUGGGAUGAAAGUUAACAGCAGCUUGUGGGGACUGAUUACAGAGCUUCUUUUGUUUUAGGAACUCUUGCAUCCAAGUGGUGUUUUUUGCUAUGGAAUGGGAAUUCUGGAACUAGCAUCCAGCCUGCACUAUUGCAGAUACACAUCCACAGAGGAAAGGCUUGGACAGUACAACAGUUCAUCUGCAGUUAAGUCUUUGUAAUAUUAAUUAAAGGACCUAUGGCAGCUUAGGCUGGAGACAUUGUACUCAAGGAGGGUAGAGAGACAGCUGAACACUGACCCAGUUUUUAUUUUGCUGUCCUUGAGAUGAUCAGUCUAGCUUCGCAACAUAAAUACAACAAAUAUCUUAAAAUCUGCUUUAAAUGAAUGUUAAGGGUCAAACCUAACACCCCCCCCCCACAAAAGGAAACAAAAUUCUGAGUUAAGCCUAACAUAGUGACCAUAACUUCAUUCUGCUGUGCUUCUGUAAUGUAACACGUGCAAGACGAUCCACUGCCCUCAGAACCCCUGAUUAAGGACCAUCUGACUUGUAAUUCUAGGGAACAACAAAGUUAAUUAAGAAUGGCAUGGCAGUCUUGACCUCAAGAAUUAAUUGCUUUUGUUGCCUUGCUGUCUAGAUUUGUAAAUUGGUUUUAAUUAGCUUUUGACAUAUAUUUCCUUGAGUGGGGGAAGUUUAGCAUGCACUCCUCAUCCCCAAUUCUCAACCCUCCAUGAUCUGCAAAGUCUGCAAAGCAGCAGUAUACUUUACCAAAUGUAUAAUAUGCAGUGCAUUGUGUGGAGAAAUAUAUUAGAAGAUGGCUUGCAUGAUAUUUUGUGUACAUGUAGAACGUGCUAUCAAACAGUGAACACACUUUGAAGUGUGUAGUCCUUAUUAAUUUUCUCAUGGAAGCUCUCUGGCUAACUUGACAUAUUUUAUUUGCAUGUUAAUCAACUGUACAAUAGUGUUUGGGGCAUCUAUCUUAUAUUUAAACUUAAAAACUGCUAAAUUCUAACCCUUUUUGGGUUAUUUUAUUUCUUAUAUUUUAGUCUUUCUGCUAUAGUAUUAAUGGAGUUUCUAACUUUCUAAUUUGCCUAGCUGUUAACAUUUGUUUGUGUAAAAGUAAUCACAUGGAAGUAUUAAACCAGCAUGUCUCAAAUUAAUAUAACUUAGUUCAAGAAUAUAGAUUUCUUCAUGACAAUACCAUCCUAUAUCAGCCUGAAACAAAGGAAAAAAGGAAUAUUUUACUAUCUGGUUACCACUUAUUAAGUUCCUGACUCUAAUAAGGAUCUGUUUAACCCAACAUUCUUUAAUUAUUUCAAACCACAGUGGUUGUUAAGCAAACAAGUCACACUGACCUUAAAGUAAUUGUCUAAGAAUGAUUUUUACAUUACACUUGUUUACUCAUGGCUACUGAAAAGUCUUUUUUCUGAGGAUUAAAUGAAUCUUUACCUGUUCAACAUUUUAAUUACUUUCACCAUCUAAAAAUGCUCUUAAUGAAAAUAUUUAAAUGUUUAUUUAAAGAAAUAAAAAAGAGUGCCACCAAAAACACAUGAAAGUUUGUGCAUUUAAGGCCUUAACCUGGAAGGUGCAGCAUGUUCUUCACUCCUUUUGCUAAUAAAGAUACUGUAUACAACCCAUAACAAAAUGGCUGAAAGUCCAUGCAGUACUAAGGGCUUGGUGAUAGAAACCAUCAGCUCCCAUUGGUUUGCCUUGGCUCUUAGUACUGUAUGAACUUUAAACUACAUACUCAAUAGCUCUCUCCCUAUGGUGGACUUUGAUCAAGAUUACUUAAUGAGGAUCAGCACAGUCGAAUCAGUGAAUUCUCUAGCUUAAUUAUAUUUAUCAUUCAUUUAUUAUGUACUGAUAUACACAAACAACUAAUAGGAAAAGGCAUCAGAGAGAUAUUUGGAUUAAUAUUUAUUUCACUUUUCAUAUUGUAGCAAAAUAUUGAUUUUAAUAUUGUAUUAUAUUGUGUGUAUAUAUGGUAUACUUAAUACUUUAAUGUAAUGAAACAUUUUUCUGGGAUUUCAUAUCUUUAGAAGAUUUUGAAAUUUUGCCUUUGUGUUUUGAUACUGAAAGGAUUAUUUUCUGAAAUGUCAGAAUUUUCCACAGGAUGGAAAUUCCAGUUCCUGACCAUCUCUACACGUAAAAUUGUGCAGAUGCACAUGCUCUCAUGUUAAUCUGAAGGAACAUUUACCAUUAUCUCUUUAUAAGGCAUAUUUGAAAUGCCAUUAUGAUCCCAUAUCAUCUCCUGGGCAAGGAGAUUUGAGUGAGGGUAGAAUUGUGUAUGCACUGAAAUUUCUAUUUUGCAGGGAAAUCUGUUUUGAAAUGUAUUUUUAUUCUGAAUCAAAAUGAAAUGUUAAAUUUCUCAUGAAACAAAAUUUUCAAAUGUCUUUUGGAUCAACAGAAAUGUGUUUCAAUUUUGACUUUUUAAUUUUUUAAAAUAAUAUAAAAUAAAAUUUAAUUUUGAAAGUUACUUUGAAAUGAAAAAUCAAAACAUUCCAUUCUGAAAAUGUAUGGACCAUUUUGACAUUAAUGAAACACUUUGUUUCAAUAUUUUUCUCAAAUGAAAUUUCAUCAAAAUUGACAUGUUUGAGUAGAAAAUUUAGAUUUUCACAAAACACAUUUUCCAAAGGAAAAAUGUUUGGAAAAUUUUCUGCUAGCUUUACUUAAGGGUAUUGCCAUUCAAAAGACUGCAGCGUAAUGUGAAUGAUCACCUUCUUUCUUCCAGUUUAGAUGUACUCACUGUUACAUGUUAAAAAGUUGUCUCCUCCCUUUCCAUCCCCAGAGAACUGACCAGUGAAGCUCCUGAGUCCAGAAGUGGCAGCAAUAGGUAUCUGCUUCUGCUUUUUCUCAUCCUAUCCUAGAGAAUCCAACAGUGGGAUCAAUGAGAGCCAGAAAAGGAUAAUUGAUUUUUUCCUGUCUCCCCUAUCUAAUUGAUUUCAUAACCCAUGAAGUAGGAAGCUAAAGCUCUUCACCAGUUUUUGUUGUGUCCAGUUCCACAUGCAGUAAGAUGCAAUUACAUCUUGGUAGGAUGUGGUGAAAUCAGAAAUGGAAUUGAGCUGUGAAGUUUGGAUCUGGGUCUCAAGAAUCCCAGAUUUCAGCAAGCUUUGGACCUGUGGUUCUGUCUCAAGACCAUCUCUAGAUGAGACAAAAUGAAAUGAGAUAAAAAUAGCAUGUGAUUUAAAAUAAGGAGAGAUCAUCACAUGGUGAAGAAAACUUGUGAUACCGAAAGCCUGAUAUGAGAAUAGCAUGGAAAUAAUAUUCAUGCUGUAAGACAACCAUUCCAAUAUUCGGAGUUAUCAAAUGCCACAACCUCACUUGGGCUUUUCAGUUUGCACCCAAAAGCCAUGUUAUUUUGUUACUCUAGUGCCAUGAUGCUUAUUUUUUUUAAAUACAAGAUUCAAUUGUGCCCUAGUUUUGUAUAUCCAGUGUCUUAUUUAUUUUAAUUAAACUACGAGUAAAAUUA